rnacentral:lncRNA from 1 species
AACAGCAUAAUAGCAGUAGUGUUGAUCGUAGUGGGCUUGUAUGGUGUUCUGUGGGGAAAAGGCAAGGAGAUGAAGCAGAACGCCCAAGUAGAUGGAGCAAAAAGCUCUACGGAGCCAGAAUUGAGAGGCAUUGUCAUAGAAACCUCAUCUAGUACUAAGGGUAAACCGACCGCAACAAGUACUAUUUGUCCCAUCCAAGCUGCUGACCGAGGAUCUGGUGCGGUUUCUCCUUCUGCAGUGGUGCAUGAAUAGCAACAAUAUAUCAUACUGAUAUCUUUUAUUUGGAAGAAAUUUUCAAGAAAUUUUUGUAUGUAUAUACAAAAUUCAUUUCUACCAACCAAAUAUCUUAAAAACAGUGUACCCGCCCCGUAUUUCCUUUGCCUAAAUUGUAAUAUUUUCCGGUAAUAAAUGAUUAAUGUUUCAUUCAAUCUAUUCAUGUCACAGUGUGCUAAGUUAUUCUGGUGGUGUAACAAGUCCUACAGCUGCUGCUAUGCAUGAGAGUAGCUCUAUCUUCUUACCCUAUCUUAUAUGUGUAUCGUUUUCUAUGAAAUUGGAAUUCCAAAUUAUAGAAAAUUGAUACCUACAUUGGCAUUAGAAUUACAAAUUAAUAUAAUCAUCAUAUAAACUAACGAUGCAUGUUUUGGUCAUACAUCUGCGGUCUCCAUCUUACAUAUAUACAUAUUUUCAAACAAAUAUUGAUUGAUUAAGAGUCAAUGUGGGAAUGAUUGUUGGAAGUUAGAAGUGUUUGGCAAUAGUAAAAAUGAUUUUUCUUAAAAAGUUAGGAGGCAUGACAAAGUAUUAUAAAUGAAUUUUAAAAGUCUAGCUAAUCACUUCUAUAAGUUUUGAAAUAACAUUGGAUGCUGGUGUCUAACAAUGACUUUUUACGGGUUAGUUUUACUAUGAAAAAUAGUAAAGAAAGUCAAAUAUAAUUAAAAUUAUUAAAAAUUUAUAUAUUUUUAAAUUAUUUAAUAUUUAUACAGAACAAUUGAAUAAGUAAAAAAAGUUUGAAAUGGUGUAAAAAAAUAAUUUAUUAACUUAAAUUUUUUUUUUUCUCUUUACUUCUAUUUUUUCUCUUUGUUCCCUUUCUCUCACAUUUUUCUUCAAACUUUUGGAUAAUAAAACAUAACCUCGAGGUUUGACAAAUAUUUUAAAAUUAUAUUUGUAAGUCAAGAAAAUCACUUCAAGUGAUUCUUGAAUUAGCACUUUGAUAUGUGCUACUUCAUCUAAAAAUCAUUUUUUAUUAUAUAAUACAUUAUCCAAAAAUACUUAAUUAUAUAGGAAUACUAUCUUCUAUACACAUCCAACACCAAUUGAUUCUUCAUAAAAAGAUUUAAUAGAAGUGUUAUCAACAAAAGCAUUAUAAGUUUCUUCAUAAAAAUAUAGUAUUAAAAUAUUUACUAUGGAAGUGAUGCCGAUAAAAACAUUACAAAUUAAAAACAUUUUUAUCAAAAUCAUUCUGAAAUCAGCCUUACUCAUGCUUCCAAAUGAAACAUCUCAUGAGUUUUGUCCAUUUGCAUGUUGGCAUAUCCUCUCUACAAACAACUUCACCAUCAAUUAAUUUUCAGUUAAUGAUAAGAAAAAAUUAUUUUUUAAAAAAGAUUUUUAGAUUACAUCAUUUUAUGAACAUACUUGUACAAUUGAAGUACAAUUUAUCACAUUUCUUACAAUCUAAUAAAAAUUUUAAAUAAUAAUAAUAAUAACAAUAAUAAUACUCAAAGAAAAUAAAACUAUUUUUCAUAUUCUAAAAUACACAAACUCUUCAUUUUAAUUUCCUCUACUAGGUGCAAGAUUACCCUAAUUUACAUAUUAGAUAGAAUGAUAGGACACAUGAUGAAAAUGGUAAAAGUAAUGCACAAAAGAAGGAUAAGAAUCCACUUCAACCAAUAUUUCUAUAAAUAAAGAGUAAUUAAAUAUUAAUAAUAUUUCAUUAUCUUAACUUAGGAAAUAAUAUUUAUUUUCCUUAAUUUUAAGACAUUUAUUAUUUGUUUAUUUUUUAUAAUUUACAAUACACUAUUGUAUAAAUUUUUUAAAAGAAAUAAUAAAAUUCAAGUCUUUCAUUGCAAAAAUUAUCAAAUUUUUUAUGGUAUUAGAGGAAGAGACUUAAACUUGAUUCUUCUCCAAAAGUGAUUGAAUAUCAUAAAAGUAUUGGUCAAAAUACUUGAAUAGGUACAAAUUUUCAGUUUGGAGGGAAAAAGUUUUACCUAUACUACGUAUUACAAUUCUCGACAAAAACUAAAAAAUAACCUUUCUAAGUAUUACAAUUCUUAACAAAAACUAAAACAUAGAAAUAAUAAUAAUAAUAAUAAUAAUUUAAUAUUUAUAUGAUGUCUUUGAUAUUUUUAUCAAUCCUUUGGUAUGCCUUCACCAAGUUUCAAGGUAAGAUGGACAUUCAUAUACAUUCUCACUCUAGAGAAUAUAUUUAAAAAAAAAAUAUUUGAAAGAGCAUAUUAAGGAAAAGAAUAAACAAAGACCAAAAAUGACAUAUACACCGAAUGAAUAGUAAAUCAAAAGCAAUCAAAUAUUAAUAAUAUUUGAUUCUCUUAAUUUAAAAAAUAAUAUUUAUUUAUUUAUUUUAAGAUAUUUAUAAUUUCUUUUUUUCUAUAAUUUGCAAUACAUUAUUUUGAAAACAAAUUAUAAAAUUCAUCAAACCCUUCAAUUAGAAAACGGAAAAUGAAGAAAGAAAAUUCAAGUUUUUAGUCAGUGAUGUCUACCCUCCCGCCCAUGGCUCCUCUAAGCAAAGCCAGAAGCGAAGAAAUUACCCCUUUGAGUGGGAGAAUAGGAAAAAUUAGCGGAAAAUAAGUGUGCUAUAAAAGGUGUGCAAUCUACUAAUAUGUGUGCCUUCUUCUAUUAGGUGCACCAACUUAUGUGGCACAUUUCUCUUAUUUUUCUUUAAAAAGUUGUGUACACUUUUUUUAACACUAAGUGCACCAACUUAAGUUGCAUACCUCUUCUUUGUAGGGUUUUACCCUUGAAUGCGCCACUUAAGUUGUACACCUCUUCUCUAUAGGGUGUGUAAGGUUAUUAUUCUCAACACUCCAGUGCCCCAACAUUUUUUCUGCAAGGUGGCACUACUUAAGUUGCACACAUCUUCCCUAUAAGGUGGGGUAUCUCUGUGUGUGCCACAUCCCAAUUCUCAACAUCCCAACACCCCAAUAUUUUUACUCUAGUACAAUUAUACUCUCAAUGUUAUAUUUAUAGUUUUAUUUUAAGUAAAUGUCCUCAUUUAUUAUGUCAUUUAUGUAUUAUUUUUUCAUUUAUAUCUCCAUCUAUUUUAAUUUUAUAAUGUAAAUAAUGGAAUACCUCAUAUUUAAAUACAACAAAAAAUAAUUUUCAAAAGCUAAUUCUAAGUAAAUCAAAAUCUUAUUUUUCAAAUUUAGUUAUAAAUUGAUAGUUUUUGCUAAAUUUUCUUCGAAAAAAAGUUUCCCUAACUAAAAUUAGAAAAGAUAAAAAUCCUAAAAAAAUUAUUUCGAAUAUUACCAACAUGAAAAAUAACAAAAUUCGUCACUUUUUACCUUAAAUUUUGAAACAUUUAAAAAUAAACCUAUUUCUCAUACUUGGUAAAAUUUUUACACAACUAAGACAACAAAUAAGGUGAAUAUGAAAGUUUUCAAUCCAUUAUACCAUUUUAUCUAUUCUCUUAAACAAAAUAAAAUUUAAAAUUGGAAAUUUGUAAAAUAAAGUUUUAUGCUAUUGUUAUUAUUUGAAAAUAUAUAUUUAAUAAUAAUCAUAAAAAAUCUAGUAGUUACGUGUACAUUAGAACUAAAAUUCCUAGAAAUGAGAGUAAAUGCUUAGCAUAUGACAUAUUAUAAUUAAACCAUAGUUUUAGAAUUUGAGAUGUAACAAAUUCAAUAUUAAUUGAUUUUUUUUUUCAUCUAGCAUUAGGUUAUUAGAUAGCUUCUAGCUAUAAGAGUAGAUAGGAAUAUAUAUAUACUCGUAGACCACCUAAGAAGGAAUAUUUAUUUUUUGAUUCUUAUCCUAACAUAAGAAGUCCAAUGGGAACAAUACUUGAAAUAGUGAUCCAUAAAAAAAAAACCAAUAUUGAGAUUGGAUAGAACAAGGUUAGAGCCAAAAGGAAUUAUCAAAUAACUUAGUAGAAUUUAUAUGACUACUAUGGAUGAUCCAAUACUUAAUAAACAAGUAUAUCCUCUAGAUGGAAGAAGAUUCUCUUUGAAAGGUAGUUUUGUGCCAUCUACUAGAGCUUGAAGAAUUCCCAAAGGAUCGGCAUGCUCUACGAAUGAAUGAAUUUGAUAAAAUUGGAAAAUGGAAAGAAUUGUACAAGUUAGACGUUUCAUCACCACUUUGUGGAAAAUCGUUAAGUAUGAAUAUGUUAGAUACUUGUGACUCGAUUGGUGAAAUAGUUUUUGUCACACACAAAAAAAUAUUUUCUUGCGAAUGAACAAAAUAUUAAGAAAUUGUCCAUAUGUAAAAUCACAAUUAUUGAUAUGGGCCUUUGCCAUUCCUAAAAAUGAGAGUAAAUGUUUAACAUAUAACAUAUUAUAAUAUAAAUAUUUUAUCAUUAUCCAUUAAUUUACAUUUCAAAUUCUAUAAUCUUAGACUGACCAUUUAAUAUUAUAAUUAAACUAUAGUUUUAGAAUUUAGAAUGUGACAAAUUCAAUAUUAAUUGAUUUAUUUUUUAUUUAUGUAGCUUUGGUUAUUGGAUAGCUUCUAGCUAUAACAGUAGUAAGGAAUAUAUAUAUCCAAUUUUCUGCUAUAAAAUUGUGGAAAAUGGUUAAACUUCAAUUCUGUUAUACAUAACUUUUUAUUUAUACAAUAAAAUUAUAAUUUAUCUAUGUAUAUUAUGUAUAUCUUUUGGCUAUAGACUUGUUGAUUGUCAAUUUUGUUCUAUAUAUAUUUCGUUAUAUAACAUAAUUAGAAUUUUUAUUGUAUAGUUUGUAACUAUAGAAUUGUUGUUUGAUAAUAAAUUUGUUCUCUAUAACUUCUAAUUAUUAUAAAAAAAAUUAUAAAUUUUCGUUAUAGCUUUUGGUUACAAUAUUUUAAAUUGAUAAUUUUGUUUUAUAUGACUUCUGAUUACACAAUAUAAUAAAAAAUUGUCUACAUAGUUUCUAACUAUAAGAUAAUUGGUAACAAAAAAUUGUGUUCAUAACUUCUAGUUAUGAGUAAAGUAAAUAAACGUUUUAGUAAUAAAAUAAGAAUACUAUAAGAUACUGUUUUUCAUAUAUCUUUUUCAAAUUAAAUUGUUUGAAGAAAGAAAGAGUGCAUACUUUUCUAGAUAUGAAUGAGUGUUACAAGUAGGCAAAACCUUUUAUGGAUGAAAUCCUCUGUUUUUUUCAACUAGAGUGUCGUGCUAGUAAUGUAUUGUACAAGUAAAAAUGAAAAAGAAAAUUAGAGCGAAUUAUUUAGAGAAAAAAUUCAAAGAAAUUGAACCUUGAAAUUAUCUAACCUUAGGCUUAUUUCAAAGGUUAUAAUUAUAAUGACUAAAAUAUUGCUUUUCUAAUAACUGGGAACAUUAGUUACAGGCAUAUUUGAAAGGUUUAUUAUGCGAAAUUGUGACAUUGAUAAAUAUCUUCACCUAUUUAUAACAAAAAUAUACUUUUUCCAAACAAUUUCCAAAUAUUCAAACUGUCGAGAAUGUUUGAAAUUUCUGUGGGAAUUUGAACCAUGCCCUUUUGGACAUUUGAACCAUUCUUGGCCAUUCAAAUGCUGAACCUGGGAGCAUUUGAAUUUACUUCCUACUUCCCUUUCCCGCUUCAACGUUUUUUUCCAUUUUUCCAAAUCUUUUCAAUUUUAAAAACCAUAUUUAUGUUUACUAACAAUUGGCCUAAUACAAAAAUAAAACAGUGGCCUAAUACAUUAUCAAAAAACACUUCCAGAAAUAUCUAUCUUUUGGUACAUAUAAAUACGUACAAUUGAUUCUUCAUGAAAAUAUUUAUGAUGGAAGUGUUAUCAAUAAAAGGGUCAUAUGCUUCUUCACAAAGAUGUAGUGUAAAAAUAUUUACUAUAAAAUUGGCAUGGAUAAAAACAUUACAAAUUCGAAACAUUUUUACUGAAAUCAUUUCAAAAUGGGCAUAAACCUACUUAUGCUCCCCUAAAUAAUUAAAUCCAUGAAAAAAAUGAAACAUCUCUUGAGUUUGGUCCAUUUGCUUGUUGGGAUAUUCUCUUAGCAAACAACUUCGUCACAAAUUAAUUUUCAAUUCAUGAUAAGAAAGAAUUAAGUUAUUUUUUUCUGAAGAUUUUUAGAUGACAUGAUUUAAUGAAUAUACUUAUAUAAUUGAAUAUUAUUAUUAUUAUUAUUAUAAAAACUAUUUUUCAUAUUUUAAAAUAUACACCCUCUUCAUUUUCAUUUCCACCCCCGGGUGCCUGAUUUCCCAAACUCACAUGCUAGAAAGAAGAAAAUCAAGGUUUUUAGUCAGUGAUGCCCGCCCUCCCUCCCUUGUCUCCUCUAAGCAAAGCCGUAAGUGAAGAAACUACCCCAUGAGUUUCGUCAAUUUGCACGUGGGCAUAUGAGGCAAGAAAACAUCCAAAGGCCACGAUUACCUGAUAUAUACCUUUUGAACGUCUUCCUUACCAUUAUAUUAAACUAUUUUCAUCUUCAAUAUCAAAUUGUACUAGUCUUUCUUUAUGCAUGUAUGGGGCUAGUAAAUGUGUCUCAGGUGGAUUUUAAAAAUGAAGGCAACCCAAGCCCAGCCAAUUGGGGUUGGGUUUCGAGUAAAACUCGUACACAUACGUCGUACGUGUCCUUUUCAGAUUUUCCUCACUGGUCACCCACCCACCGAGGAGCACAAUACGUCUGCACAUACGUGUGCAAAAAAACUCAUCAUCUAACCGUGGAUUCCUGUCGCUGUUGACUCCACCCCUAUCUCUAUGCCUAUAAAAUACUCACUUGGUUUGAACCGAUGUCCACAGAGCAGAUCGUCAUUUGGUGUGAGCUUGAGAAAAUUAACACAGAGGCAGCUUUUGAGUUAAUUUGCAGAUUACAUGGCCACUGGAAAGUUGAGGAACCUUUUGGAAGGGCUGAAGCCAGCCAUGACAAUGGUGAUAGUUCAGAUAAUAUUUGGAGGGCUAAAUAUUAUGUACAAACUGGCUAGAAAUGAUGGCAUGAGCAUGAAGAUUUUGGUCGCCUACCGAAAUAUCUUUGCAACAGCUAUUAUGGUUCCACUUGCUCUAAUCUUUGAAGGGUGAUUCUUAUUAAUCUUGUCUAUUUUUUUUUUCCGCAUCUUUAAUUUUGUUUUAUCUUUCAUUCACUCUUUUCAAAUUUAUGGUGAACAUUUAAUUAAAGUGUAUUAUAAUUUUAACAGGAAGAGUAGGCCAAAACUGACAUGGAUGAUCUUCCUCCAGGGCUCAUUAUGUGGAUUAUUUGGGUAAGUCUAAUGAUUAAUUAGAAAAUAUUUUUUUAUUUAUAUAUAUACACAUUAAGAAAUAUCUUUAAUUCCUUCAAUGCUCUAUCUUGUUUGUAAAUGACUUUGCAGGGGUGCGGUUCUUAUAGAGUAAUUUUACUCCAUGUCUUCAUAUUUAUGAUAUGAAAUGUUUUCAAUAAUAUUUUAUCCUACACUUCUUAUACAUAAAAAUUUAUUAAAUAUUCUUAUAUUUUCUGACAUAAACUUUGAUUGCAGAGGGUCAUUAGGUCAAAAUUUAUAUGCCGAGAGCCUAAGCUUAACGUCAGCAACAUUUGUAGCGGCAAUGACAAACCUGGUUCCAGCUAUGACAUUUGUCAUGGCAGUUUUCUUAAGGUAUUUUUUUAUUUAUUUAUUUCCUACUGAUAUUUUAGUACUAAAAUUUAUAGUAUUACACAUUUAAGUUUCUUAAGGAACAAAUGCUAAACCCUAGUCCUAUUUUCUUCUAGGAUGGAGAGAUUAGCAAUUGGAACAAUUGCGGGAAAAGCUAAGUUAAUGGGAACUAUAAUGAGCCUAGGUGGUGUAAUGAUUCUAACAUUUUACAAAGGAGUAGAGAUCAAGUUAUGGUCAACCAACAUCAACCUACUACAUCAUGGUGCUGCAGCAUUACAAGAGUCGUCUCCUAAUCAAGUGUUGGGCUCACUAUUGGCUGUGGCUAGUUGUGUCUGUAUUGCAGUUUGGUUGAUAGUCCAGGUGAUCAAGGUUCAGGUUUUCUUUUUUCUUCAAAUGAUAAAUCAAAUACCUUUACUGAUAGGGAAAUUGCUCUCGUAUUUUGGUUUUUCUUCUUUUAUUUGGACAGACUAAGAUGAGCAUGGUGUAUCCAAGCUACUCCGGAACUGCUCUAAUGUGUGUUUGUGCAUCAAUUCAAUCGGUUGUAUAUGCCAUGUGCACUGAGAGGGACUGGUCCGCAUGGAAACUUGGUUGGGACAUUAGGCUUCUCACUGUUGUUUACUCAGUAAGAUAUUUCUUGAAAAUUUUAUAUAAUUCAAUGAAAUGUGAGAAGAAUAAAGAUUUUCUAACAAAGUAUUGAUUGACAUUCAAUUUCUCUUCCAUUCAAACGAUAUUGAGAAAUCGUUUAUGAAUAUGUUAACUUAGUGGAUGAUUUUGAGUUAUAACAAGUAGAAUUUGUUGUAUUGCAGGGAGUGUUGGCCUCUGGAUUAAUGGUUACACUAAUGACCUGGGUUUCAAGGAUGAGAGGCCCAUUGUUUGUAUCUUCUUUCUUUCCCUUAAUGCUUGUAACCGUUGCAAUACUUGGGUCACUCUUACUCCACGAACAGCUACAUAUAGGAAGGUUUGAAUAUUCAAAUUAAAACCACCUUACCUUCAAAGAUUUCAUUUGUGCUCUGACAUUAAUUCUUGGUACCUAUUUUUAUAACAGCAUAAUUGCAGCAGUGUUGAUCAUAGUGGGCUUGUAUAUUGUUUUAUGGGGAAAAGGCAAGGAAAUGAAGCAGACCGCCCAAAUCCAUGCAGCACAAAGCUUUAGCGAACAAGAUCUGAGACAUAUUGUCAUAGAAAAUUCAAGUAACAGUGAGUGUAAACCAGAAGCAAGUGGUAUUAUUGGUCCCAUUGAACCUGCUGACCUAGGAUCUGGAGUGCCAUCUGCAGCUGCAGUGGUGAACAAAUAAUGUCAUAGUGAUAUCUUCCAUAUAAAAUUGGAAGAGAUAGCAGUAAACUAGAAAAGGAAAUUGAUUUGUGUUAUUAAUGUUGUUCAAUGUAUAUUAGAAAUUCAUUUCAGUUAACUAAAAUCUUUUACAAACAAUGUUCCUCUAUUUUUUUUCUCUAAAUUCUGACAUUUUCUGGCAGCAAAUGAGUACUAUUACUGCAAUGUUCUUCACCUACUUUGCUAAUUCACUCUAGUUGGUGAAUGAAUUUUGCUGAUGGAAGGACAACUUCUCCAUCUGCAAAUAUUGAAAUCCAUUUACAGUGUCCUCAAUGAAUAAAACGUAAAAAAGAUGUGUGAAAAUAAAGCUAAGAAUAUUGGAUCAUGAAACAACUCUAAUAGACCUUACAUGCAUGUAGUCUGGAUGGUGAGAAUGACGAAGGAACCUUGUAAGACUUAGGUGAUACUAAGAGUUCAUUUGGCACUAAUUUUAGAAAACAUUUUUAACUUUUUGAACACAAUGAUAAAAAUUUAUGAAUGUUGGAAUGAUUUCCUAAAAUCACCGGCUCUAAACCAUUCACAUUUGGUAUCUCUGUUUCUGACAAGGGAAGCGCAUAUAAUGCGGCAGAUCUUCGGGAUCACAGUAUGCGGAAAAUAUCUGAAGGUUUUGAUGUGGCAACCUUUGACGUUGAUUUUGGGCAAUAUCACAAGGUCUCUCUACCACCAGAUUCAUCCCGUAUAGAGGGUGUGAUCAAAUAUAGGAAAGGAAGAAGCACAGAAUUAACACCUACCAUCCACUAAGCCAAGCCAUGACUAAUGAAACUCCCCAAUCAUUAAUCUAGUUCUUCCAUGAGGCCAACCACUGUGUGACAAUUGUAUGUGAGAUCUUAAGGCCAAUUUGGACCUAAUGGACUAGGUUGCCGUAGUGGGAUUGACAACUACUCAAGCGCAUCGAAACUAAGGUUGCCCUUGGGGGGAAACUUUCCUUUUCAGACCUCAACACGUCUGAAUUAAUGUUUGUAAGCAUUCGCAACUUCAAUGGAUGCCUCUUUCGUACUGUACUCAACAUCUGCUUGGGCUACUCUUAGGAAUCUUUGAGUUGCACCGGAAGUUUUAAUACUAUACAUUAAUACAAUAAUCCAAAGAUGAAAUCAUUUACUCAUAACCAUAUGUUUGUACCAACGGAUGAAGCCUUGAUCACUUAUUGUGUAAGUAAAAGUUUUAAUCCUAACAUACUCGAAAAAGAAAACAAAGAUAAAAUAAUCCUCGUACAUAGAUAUACAAGGUUUUAAGGUGAUUCAAUAUCAUGCCCAAAUUUGUUGAUAAGAGAAAAUCAUUCCAAUAUUCCAUAAAGAAUAUUACAUAGGAUGGAAGAACACAUACAAUUAAGUCUUGAAAUAUCCUAUGUUUCUACAUUCCUUAUGUCUAUACCAUGAGUCAUGAGUUUUAUAGGUAGAAUCAUUAAUACUAAUAUAAUAGAAAAAGAACACGAAGAUGAAACAAUCACACAUAAAGAUACGUAAGGUUUUAAUGUGGAUCAAGAAACCAUGUCUAAAUCCAUGGAUGAGAGAAAAUAAUUAUACUAUACCAUAGAAAAUAUUAUAAAGGACAAAAAAAUAAAGAUUGAAACAUUUCAUGUCUCCCAUUCAUCUCUAUGUUAUUACUAUGCAUUUUUUGUCCCAUAAGCCCUCCUUCUUGUCUCUUCAUUGAACAAAUUUCCCUUCACAAGCUCCAUAGACAAUGCACCAUUCAGAACAAAGUUGCUAAUAGUUACAACAAAAGUUUCCCAACUGUCUAGUAGUAAACACAACAUAGAUGCUUGCAUCUUAUAAUCGAUAACCAUUUUCAUGGUAGCCAACUAAUUAACAAUACUCUAAAAAACAUUCAAGUGAUCUAUCAUUAGUGUUCUUUCCUUUAGCUUCAUAUUCGUCAACUUCUUUAAUAAGAAAAUUUUAUUCCCAACAGUUUUUUGUUCAAACACUAAUUCCAAUUUCUUCCAGAGAUUAUAGACAUUUGUUUCAUUUGCCACAUGAUGAUGUGAGGAUGUGUCAAUCCAUUGCCUAAUAUAGGCAAUUGCCUUUUUGUUCAUCUUAUUCCAUUCCAAAUCAGAAAUAUCUUUAGGUCUGGCUUCUUCACCCUUAAGAUUAUUUGAAAAAUCUUUAAUGGUGAAAAAAUCUUCCUUCAUGGACUUCCAUAUAGCCCAAUUUGAAUUAUUAAGUUUUAUCAUGGAGGUUGAGUUCCCUUCUAUCUCCAUUCCUUUCGCAACUAGACUUUGAUACCACUUGUUGGGAAGAUAAAGGGAGAGAUUUAGAGUAUUAACCUGUCAAGGUUAAAAGAUUCCUCUACAAUAAUAACCACCUCUCAAGAAUAAUAACCCAACAAAAAUCAAGAAUGACAAUCAAGAACAUUCAACCACAAAAGAGGACAUCAAAUAUAACGUGGAAAACCCCUUUGGAUAGAGGUAAAAAAACCAUAGAGAAAAUUUCUCCCACUUCAAUAAAUGGGGAUACAAUAAUUAAAUUCUGACUUGAGGCGGGAAUCCAUCACCCUAGGAAACAUGAACAGAAAAAAAAUCAGGGAGAAAAUAUACCACAAGAAUUCCCCAAAAGUUUGAUGAAAGGAACCUGUAACUUCACCCUUGAGCCUUAGAACAAUGACUAGAAAAACAACCUUGAUCUUCUUUCAUUUUCUCAAUCAAAUGCCCUUCUCUCUCAUAAUACCAAAACCCUAAUGCUAUUUAUAUAUCCAUAUUUGGGCUUAGGGAAUACCCAAAUAUAAAAUAGCCUAAUAUAUGGGCUCAUGGCUGGACAAACAUAAUCCAACAGAUUAUAGUGGGCUUGUAUAUCGUUUCAUGGGGAAAAGGCAAGGAGAUGAAAAAGACCGCCCAAGUCCAUGGAGCAAAAAGCUUUAGCGAACAAGAAUUGAGACAUAUUGUCAUAGAAAAUUCAUUUAACAGUGAGUGUAAACCAGCAGCAAGUGGUAUUAUUGUUCCCAUUGAAUUUGCUGACCUAGGAUCUGGUGUGGCAUCUGCAGCUGCAGUGGUGCCUGAAUAAUGUCGCAGUCAUAGCUUCUAUACAAAAUUGGCAGAGAAAAGGAAAUUGAUUGUGUUGUUGAUGUUGUUCAAUGUAUACUAGAAAUUCAUUUCUGUUCAUUAAAAUCUUUUACAAACAAUGUUCCUCUAUUUUUUUCUCUAAAUUCUGACAUUUACUGGUAGCAAAUGAGUAAUAUUAAUGCAACUAUCGCUAUUCAUUAACAGUGUCUUCAAUGAAUAAAACGUAAAAAGAUGUGUGAAAAUAAAUUAAGCUAAGAAUAGCGGGAUCAUCAAACAAUUCUAAUAGACAACAUGGUCUAGUCAACAAUAAUGAUGGGUACACACCUAACAGUUCCUUGGUAUAAUGGCGGAGAGUGUGUUUAAAGGGUGGAAUAUGCUUAUCUUCAAAAGCUAGUUGGUUAUUUUCGGCCACCGAUUUUCUUAAAAGCUUAAACUUUUCGGAUUUUGGCGUACAAUGUAUUUAUAUUAUGCUUCUCCACCAUUCCCCUCUUUCUAUGAUUUUAAGUUUUUAAGAAAAUUGAAACUCAACAUGGUAUCGGUGCUCUAAUUAAUUAGAUAUAUCAUAUUGAAGUUAUUAUCUCAAUCUAUUUAUUUGUCCAAUUAUUUGUGAUUAUAAAUAUACAAUUUUUAUGUAGCUUUUUUAAUGCUCAUAUCUAAUUAUCUAUAAUUAAACAUGUGAUUUGUAUGGUGAGUAAUUAUCUUUAAUCACAUCUGUACAAUGGAUAUAGAGUCGCACAUGAAAGAAGGUGAAUAUGCCUAAUUAUUUGUGAUCACAAAUGUGUGAUUUAGGUGGUGUUUAUUUUUUAAAACUUUUUUUUAAAAGCAAUUUACUUUUAGAUUUUAUAUUGUUUAUUCUUUUACUUUUUGUUGACUUAAUACUUAUUUCAGAUUUUUUUUAUUGAAUAGAAAAAAAUAAAAUAUUUAACUUUUUCUAAAUGUUAAGAAAAAUAUGUUGAUUUUUUUCACCGUUUCAUAUUUAAUAGAAAUAAAAUAUUAAAAUAAAUAAAUAACUUAAUUAUUAACAUUAUUAAAUAUUAUUUAGUUUUAAAUUCUAUUUAAGAAUUGAGUGAAAAAAGCAAAGCAACACCUUACUACCUUAGCCGCCAGUGCACAGCUAUUACUAUCUAGGCCACAUGUAAUAGUUGUUGAGAGUUCCAACAAGAAGAAUAUCUUGUAGUGAUUUACCUCUCUUAAAAGGGAAUAUCUUUGUAGUAGAGAAAAGUACUCAAGAAAAUUCAAACAGAUUUAUGACAACCUUGUAGCCAUCGACAAGCCAACAUUCGAGCUUGAUAAAGUAAGUCAAUUUGCUACAGCACUGGAGGCAAAGUUUCAAGAAUUCCAAUGGACGUUUCAACCCGAUGGACAGUCUUAAUAUUGCAAGCAAGUUCAAGAUGCUUGAUACUCCUAAAAAUUCAAUUCGAAUGACCUGUAGUAAUGGUCUGAAACCCAUCUAGAAAACAAUCUUCAUCCACAUUCUCAAUGACACUUUUCUGACUGAGCAAAGCAAUAAGUGAUGGAACUUCCUCGUGUGUUCUGUCCAUUAGCAUAUGGGUAUAUUAUGCCAGUAAAUUUCGAAAGGGAACUAGAAAAAUUAAGACCACAUUCACACUGCCGACUUUUUGAAAGUGUUCCUUAGUUUUUUAUUCUUCAAAUAAUUGAUGUUUUAAAAAACUAUAUUCAUGCUCAAUAUCAAAUUGGCCUGCUCUUUCUUUGCGCAUGUUAGAAAGCACAAAACUAACACCUACCAUCCACUAAGCCAAGCCAUGGCCAAUGAAACUCCCCAGUCAUUAAUCCAGUUCCUCCACUAGUAUGCAUGAGGCCAACCAACCUGUAACAAAUGUGUUUGACAAAUUAAUGCCAAUUUUGACCUAAUGGACUAAGUUCCCGUAAUGGGAUUGACAACUACUCCAGACCAUCGAAACUAAGGUGGCCCUUGGGAGGAAACUUUCCUUUUCAGACCUCAUGCAAGAACGUUUGUAGGCAUGCUCAACUUCAAUGGAUUCCUCUUUCGUACUAUACUCAACGUCUGCUUAGGCUACUCUUAGAAAUCUUUGAGUUGCACCGAAGUUUUUAUACCAUAUAUUAAUACAAUAAUUUAAAGAUGAAAUCAUUUAAUCAUAACCGAUGAAGCCUUGAUAACUUAUUGUGUAGGCAAAAGUUUUAAUACUAACACAUUAGAAAAGGAAAACGCAAAUAAAAUAAUCUAUAUACAAAGAUAUAUGAGGUUUUAGCAUGAUUCAAUGUCAUACCUAAAUUUGUUAGAGAAUAUUUUAUAAGACAAAAAAACACAUAAUUAUUAAGCCUUCAAACAUCCAAUGUUUUUACACUAUUGUGUCUCUAUCAUGAAUCACGAGCUAUAAUAGAAUUUGUUGUGUAGGCAAAAUCUUUUAAUACUAACAUUGUAUAAAAAGAACACAAAGAUAAAACAAUCUACACAAAGAUAAUUGAGAUUUUAAUGUGAUUUAAGCAACCAUGCUUACACCCAUAAGUGAUAGAAAAUCAUUCUAUUAUAUCAUAGAAAAUAUUAUAGAAGACAAAAGAAUAAAACCUUGAAACAUACCAUGUCUCCCAUUCAUCUUUACCUCAUUACUGUUUUCUCAUCAUGAAUUAUAAUAUUUAUAGAGAUAUUUCUAAUGUACUAAUUCUACAUAAAAAAAAUCAAAUAAUACAAUGAUAUAUCAAUAUAGGAAAUAUUCUAUAUAAUAUUUGCAACAAAAAGGGAUAUAUACCAUAUAGAACCACAAAUGAAAGAACAUCAAUUCUCUACAUUAUAAAGAAAUUAUAGAGAAAUGAUAAAAUAGACACAAGUUAUAGAUCUUGAAACAAUUUCAUGUUUUCUUACCCCCAAUAUCUACACCUUGAAUGAGAAGCCCUCACUCUAUUAGGUGUUUUCACUCUUCUUUACAUCUUGACCCACUCGGUAUAUGCUUUAUAGGUCUUAUCCUGAUCUUGUAAUUAACUUUUUGUCUCCAUGACUUAAAGUACUUAUAGAUAUAUUCCUAACCUCUUUCUUAUUAUACAAAGAUAUCUAGUAUAACAAAGAAAUAUUAAGUCAAUCUUCUAUCUCUUCAUGAAAAACACCUCAAUUGUACACAAGUUAGAAUUUUAAAGCAACUAGACUAAGAUUUAUAUGGUGUUGGAAAUAGAGAUAAGCUUAAAACAUAAAAGUAUAGCAGGACAUAUAUUUCAUACUUCAAGUGCUUAACAACCAAGUAAGAAGGUAAAUGGAUAAUCCUUACUUCCUCAAUCUGUGAAUUCUUUUAUAUCAUUGCAUUUAAUCCUAUAAUAUACCUUUGUGAUAUUCGCCACAUCAUGAAAGACAAGUUUUAUGUAUUGAUGAUUGUCCAUAAUUGUUUGUUGUUCAAAAUAAUAAGUUUAAAUUCAAAGCAACUCUAGCCGACAAAAACUAAAAAAAGUAUCACUACCACUUGUAUGGUACUCUAGGUAUUAUCCUUAAGGACUAAAUUAUGGAUGAUAAUGAUGUUAGGUCAAGGAGAUUUACUAUUACCUAAAUUGUAAAGUAAAAAAAUUGAGAAUUGAUUUACUUAAAUUAAGGGUAGUUGAAAUAAUCCUAAUUACUAAUAAAAUUGAAUGUUAAUUUCUAACUCAAUUGAUCAAAUUUGGAGGCUCCGUAAUCCAAUUUUAGGAGUAGAGCUUUGAAGAGAACAAAAGUUUGUUAUCUUCAAUGAUCUUAAGGUUAUUAGGAUACUUGGUCACUCAAGAUCAACUUAACUUCUAUAACUUAUAGUUAUAACUUAAACCUAAUUCUUUGACUUAGGAUGAAUAAAAGUCCCAUGUCUCACAUCAGUUUAUUACCAACAUUGGUUGGGCCUUAUAUGUAGCCUCUACUCCCCACAAGCUUAAGCUUUUAAGAGUGUAUGUUGUAUCGCAUCAUUUGGUAUCAUGGUGAGGUUUGGCCUGGCUCACCUUGUGCUCGUUAACAUUGGCGUUAACAUUGAGUAGGGGGGGUGUUUGAAGUACAUAGGAGGGACAAACAAUGACCCAAAUCAGCUGAUUACCAACAUUGGUUGGGCCUUAUACAUGGGGUUACCUUUUCUUCCCAUUAUCAUAGGUUUUUGGGAGUGUAAAUGCCUUGCAUCAUUUUCCUUUUCAAUUCAUAUUUCUAAUUCCCAUAUGAUGAAUGAUAUCUAAUUCAGGUUCAAGUCACAACUUUUUAUCACUUACUACUUAUAGAUUUGUAUUAAGAUGGAUAGCUAUAAAGAUAAUCAUGAUAACAAAGGAUCAAGGGUAGCUAAGAGUCUCUAGUAUCUUGUAGUACUUUAGGCAUCAUCUUUAAAAACUAAAAUAUGGAUAACAAUGAUGUUAGGUCAAGGAGAUUUACUAUUGCCUAAAUUGUAAAGUAAAAAUAUUGAGAAUUAAUUUAAGUAAAUUAAAAGUAGUUAAAAUAAACCUAAUUACUAAUAAAAUUAAAUAUUGAUUUCUAACUCAGUUGAUUCAAAGUUGGGGGCUCCAUAAUCCAAUUUUACAAGUAGAUAUUUACAGUGAACAAAAGUUUCUUAUUUUCAAUGAUCUUAAGGUUAUUAAAAUACUUGGUGGCUAGAGAUGAAAUUGAGUUCUACAACUCAUAAUUACAUCUUUUUCUUUCUUUUUCUAACAAGAUUAGUUGUAUUAAGUAUUAUUCUCCUGUUUUAUGCAUGUUUCCAAAAGCAACUUAGGGCUUAGAUUGCAUGUAGAUGGCCCUCCAAGUAGCCUAGCUAUUCAUCCUGAUCAUUAAGAUGUCUUGAGGACAUUUUCGAAAAUGAGGCCAGCUUGAAAUUAGAAAAGGGCAGUUCAAGCUCCAUAUGACAAUAUAAAUUACUACUCUAGCAACAUUUUGGAACAAUUCCUUUCUCUGUUCUCUCUUAAGACUUUAUUGCAUGUGUGAUGAUCUUAAUUAGGAAAAUCCAGUUCUCAUUUCAUUGCAUUAAUAAAUGUUCCGAUCCAAUUGAUAAUGUUGAGUCUUAUAUAAUUAAAAUAAAAUUGUUUUAAAUGGAAUCAUGGGCUGUAGCGUGAGUCGUAAUUAUGAAAAUACCAUCUCUGUCUGAUGGCAUUGGGAUAAGGUCACAUGCAUCAAGCUUUAAAAUGUGAAAAUAAACAAGGUAACAUUUUGUAUAUAUAGAAAAUGAUACUCUCCUCAAAUAAGGUAACAUUUGAUUAAUCAAACAAGAAAAUGGUAUAGGAUAUCAUUAAUAUUUGUUUCACUCGAAAAGGACAACCAGAUAUCGUCCACUCUUUUAUUUUAGGGAGAAUUAUCUUUUGGGGCUAGAUGGACCCCCAAAUUAACAAAAGGUCCAUAUAACUCUUCAAAUUGAGUUGAAAGAUAUGAAAUAGUAAUGGACAAAUAUACCCUUUAAGAACAUAUAUAAAAUAUUUUAUAAAAUUAAGUUAAAUAAUUUUUUUUCAAUAAUUUUUUUUUCAAAAAUACUAAAUUAAAUAAAAUUAGUUUUCAAAAAUAUUAAAUUAAAUUUUUUUUUCAAAAAUAUUACAUUAAAUUAAAGUAUUUAAAAAAAUAUUAAAUUAAAUAUUUUUUUAAAUAUUAAAUUAAAUAAAUUUAUUUUUAAAAAAUAUUAAAUUAAAUAAAUUUAUUUUAAAAAAUAUUAAAUUACAUAAAAGUAUUUUUAAAAAAUAUUAAAUUAAAUAAAAGUAUUUUUCAAAAAUAUUAAUUUUUUUCUCAAAAUCAACAAAGGACAUUUUUGGAAAUACUGAAGGAUGAUAUCCUUCAACUCAAUUUCCAUACUUUCAUUGGGUCUUGGGCUCAAUUUGAAGAGUUAUAUGGACCUUUUGUUAAUUUGGGGACCCAUCUACCCCCAAAACAUAAUUCUCCCUUUAUUUUAUAUCCAUUAUUCCCCAAAUCUGAAAAUCUUUGCAGAAUCUCAAAGUCAAAUGUUUGACCACUCAAAUAAGUUAUAUAUAUAUAUAUAUAUCUUUAAUAAAAAAUUUUCCUAAAUUCUACUUUAUUUUAGCACUCCCAAGAUUACAUGCAAUUCAUUCUAGUCUUCAAUGGUAGCUCAGUUUGUAAGUCAUUAGCUUCCAAGGGACUUCCAAGCUAAAACUAGUGUUUUUCCUCGGUUUAUAAACCUGUACAACCGGGGUAUUAUGAAAACAAUAAUAUUUUAAAUAUCACUGUUACGAUAUCAAAUGUAUAUAUAAAUUAUUUUAAAAUUUUUUGAAAAAACAACAAAAGUCAUGGUUCAAAAUCAUGUUCAUUUACAUUAGAGGAAAAUGCGAAGAUAUUGAAGUGAUAUCUAUCGAAAUCUAAAUCGGGAACUUUGAAUAUCAAUGAGCACAUAAAUAAAUAAGAUUAAGUUAUACAGGCGUAAAUAGAUUUGAUGUAUAAAUAAUAAGUAUACUUGGUUGUCCUAAAGCACAGAGAUAAAAUUGUAUGCCAUAUUAGACAUGGCCGCCUCCCACCAUCGUUGAAAUUAGUGAACUCACCAUGACCAAAGCAACAUGCCCAUGACUUUUCUCCACUUGCGUGUAUGAGGUUCCCGUAAUCGAAUUGGUAAUCCAAGACCAUACAUGGUGGUUGUAGACAUGAUUUGGGCUUGGACUUAGAGGAAACUUUUCGCCAGCCAAGCUGCCUUUUUAAGAGUUUGUCCUUUUAAGAGUUUUGCCUACGAUAGACCGCAAUACGCCUGCAAGGACGUCAGCAAAAGGACCCCCACACAUCACUUUGGAAAGCAUGAUCUAAGUGUGGAUUCUGGAUUGCUCUAUCUGACAUGAUUCCAACAGCCGGCAGCUCCACUAUUAUGAGGGCGCCUCUCUCAGAAAUCCCUUUUUGUCUAUAAAUACUCAUAUGGUUUGAACCAGAGAGUAUCCAAACAGCCUCCCCAACAGCUUCAUUUGCUUCAUAUAUAGUCAUUGGCUUGAGCUAUAAACAGCUUUUCAGUUGGUAUAUUACAUGGCUAGUGGGAAGUUUUGGAAUGUCAUGACAGGGCUGAAGCCAGUCCUGGCAAUGGUGGUGGUUCAAGUGUCACUGGGAGGAAUUAAUAUUAUGUACAAGUUGGGUAAGAGUGACGGCAUGAGCAUGAAGGUUUUAAUCGCCUACAGAUAUAUAUUCGCUGCAGCUUUUACGGUUCCACUUGCUUUGAUAUUUGAUCGGUAACUUUCAUUAUUUCUUAGUUUUGUUUUGUAGCUUGUGUUUAUUUAAUUUCAGUGUUUCUUCUCUCUCCCUUCUCUUUCUUGCUUUCUCUCUUCCCUUUUUGUAUGGGGUGAGCUUGUCCCUUGUGUGGCCUGUAUCACAACUGGGCUAAAGAAAAAUUAUUAUAUCUGUUAUCCUAAAUUUCAUUUUUAAAAAUGGGAGUAUAUGGUGAUGCUUUCUUUACUGACAUUUCUUACAAAUAAGAAAUAAAUUAUCAUGGUUUUAUCUCCGUUUCUCUUUCUCAAUUGCACAGAGAGCAUUUACUAAUAUUUGCCUCAUGUAUGGUAAACAGGAAGAGUAGGCAAAAAAUGACAUGGAUGAUCUUCUUGCAAGGUUCCUUAUGUGGUUUAUUUGGGUAAGUUUCAAAAAAUAUUUUAUUCUUGUAUUUUAUAUCAAAGGUGUUCAAUUUUGGCCAAAAAUGGUUUAGAUAGGUGAGUUUUCCUGUAAUGAAUCUAUACUUUCUCAAUGAACUCUUUCAUACACAUGAUGAAUAGUAUGCUCAAUUUUGCCAAAGCUUAGAUAGGGUGAUGCCAUGGUAGUUGUCAUAUAAACAGUUGAAAGGAUCUAUGACUAAAAGAUGUCAUUUUCUGCAAGACAUACACUGUUGAGAAUCGAGCUUAGUUACUACAAAUUUUGUUUUCUUCCAUUCAAUAUUUUGUUUGCCCUUCAUCUAGUUACAAUAACAGUAUUUGUAACACAUAAGAACAACUUCUAACCUAAAGUUUGAUUUCAGGGGGUCAUUAGGUCAAAACUUAUAUGCUGAGAGCUUGACUCUAACGUCCGCAACUUUUGCAGCAGCAAUGACUAACAUUAUUCCAGCCAUGGCAUUUGUCCUGGCAAUUGUCUUGAGGUAAUCCUCCUUUUCUUACCAAAAUUUUAAUCCUAUCAAAUUAACAUGGUUUCAAUAUAUGUUAAAGUUCCAGUUUAAUGAAAAAUAAAUCCUAAAUCCUAGCCAUCUUAUCUCAUAGGAUGGAAAGAUUAGCAAUUGGCACGGUUGCUGGAAAGUCUAAGGUGUUGGGCACUCUAUUAAGCAUAAGUGGUGCACUGGUUCUCACAUUUUACAAAGGAGUAGAGCUCAAUUUGUGGUCAACUAACAUCAACUUGCUGCAUCAUGGUGCAGCAACCUCACAGCAAUCAUCUAAUGAUCAAGUCUUGGGCUCAAUCUUACCUGUUGUNNNNNNNNNNNNNNNNNNNNNNNNNNNNNNNNNNNNNNNNNNNNNNNNNNNNNNNNNNNNNNNNNNNNNNNNNNNNNNNNNNNNNNNNNNNNNNNNNNNNUAAUCCAGGUGAUUUUGCUUAUUUAUUUAUUUAUUUUCUCUUCAGAUACAGAAAUUAAUUAAGUAUACACCUUUCACUAAUCUCAUAAUUGCUUUUGUGUUUUCCUAUUUCCUCUUUUAUAUGGACAGGCCAAGAUUAGUAUGGUGUAUCCAAGCUACUCUGGAACUGCUCUUACUUGUGUCUGUGCAGCGAUUCAGUCAGUUGUAUAUGCCAUGUGUGCUGAGAAGGAAUGGUCAGCAUGGAAACUUGGUUGGAACAUAAGACUUCUCACUGUUGUUUACACGGUAAGAUAUUUCUUGAAAAUUUGUGUAUAAUUCAAUGAAUUUGGGGAGUAUUUAAGAUUUGUUUAAUUGGAAUGAUUUUAUUAAUAAAAUGUCAUAAAUAUUAUUUUAACCAUAUUCUUAUUUUUUAUAAAGUAUAUAUUGCAUUAUUUCAAAAUUUUGCACAAAUUGAACAACACACAUCUUGAUUUUAUAAAUUAGGUUGACUUCUUCAAAAUUUUCUCCAAAAAGAAUGCUAUUGUAUGAAGUUCGACAUUCAAUAAAACAAGUCUUAGGUGGUGUUUUUUUUUUUUUUUUUUUUGCUGAAAGCAAUUUGUUUUUAGAAUUUAGGUUAUUUGUUUUUCUACUUUUUCAUGACUUAUUAUAAACUUUUUACUAAAUAGAAAAAGUCAAAAUAUGUCUUUUUUUUUAAAUAGAAAAAAUAACAUAUUGGUUUUUAUUUUUAUUUUUUAAUACUUAAUAUAAAUAAAAUACUAUAAAAACAAACAACCUAAUAUUUAACACUAUUAACCAUUAAAGUUUUAUUUAGACUUAAGUAAAAAAACAAACACCACCUUAGUUGGAAAGCAUAACUGCUAAUUAACAUAUGAAAGACAUUCAAUAUUAAAAAUCGUAUUCAGUUUCAAUCAAUAAAUGGUGUUGAGUUAUAACAAAGUUUUGCUGUGUUGCAGGGAGUGUGGGCCACUGGAUUGAUGGUUGCAAUAAUGAGCUGGGCUGCAAGGCUGAGGGGGCCAUUGUUUGUAUCUUCUUUCUAUCCCUUAAUGCUUGUAACUGUUGCAAUACUGGGGUCUCUCUUACUCGACGAGCAACUAUACUUGGGAAGGUUUGGAUCAAAACUACUCUUCUACUUCAACUUAAAAAGGUUUCAUUUAUUCUGAUAUUAAUUCAUUAUUCAUUUAUGGAACAGCAUAAUAGCAGUAGUGUUGAUCGUAGUGGGCUUGUAUGGUGUUUUGUGGGGAAAAGGCAAGGAGAUGAAGCAGACCGACCAAAUAGAUGGAGCAAAAAGCUCUACGGAGCCAGAAUUGAGAGGCAUUGUCAUAGAAACCUCAUCUAGUACUAAGGGUAAACCGACCGCAACAAGUACUAUUUGUCCCAUCCAAGCUGCUGACUAGGAAUGGCAAUGGGGCGGGUUCGGGACGGGUCGCCCCCAUCCCAACUCCGCCCCGUUUAUUUAAAAUAAAUCUCAUCCCCGUCCCAUUUAAAAACUUAAACGGGGCGGGGCGGGGCGGGGCGGGUACAAUAAAUUCCUAUACCCGCCCCGCCCGCCCCGUUUAACUUUUUUUUUUUUUGAAUUCACCAUUGAAACCGGCGAGACAGGGCUUACUGCCGCAGUGCCGCCGCGAUAAGGUCUCUGUGGGUAAAGCCAACCACCACCCCUCCUUCGUGUACUGCUGCAGCACCGCCAUAAUCAGAUCUCUGUGGGUAACGUUGCCGCCCCUCCUUCGCUUACUGUUGCAGAUUAUCCAAACAAUUCACACGCCCCAGAAAGACUCAGAAUCAAAAGCAACAUUAUACAAUUAACCAAACAAACUGCACUAAAGCCUAGUAGUUGUACAAACUGAAGUUAACCCCAUGUGUGUCAUUCAAAUUCAAAACAGAAAUCAGUUAAAUAUUUUCCCAAAUGCUCUGUUUGGUUUCCAAGAAAAUGUGGGAAAAUAAAAGAUGGCAAAAUCUUGGAAUCUGCAUUUUUCAUCAUUUGGGACCUAGAGACAACAAUGGGGCUUCCAUGUUACCUCUGUUUAGGUUAGUCCUUCAGUUUCCGCGAACCAAAACAUCAUAAAAACAGAAGCUUGACAAUUUUCUUUCAGAAAAUAAAGAAACGAAGAAAUUGGAAUCGCGACUCACAGAAAAGGCGUCGGAACUGAAAUUUCCAGAGGCGGACAGAAGGCGCUUAGCAGCCUGACGAGCAUUGGCUACUUCAGACAGGCAAGUCAAGGGAGACGCCGACGAAGUCGACACAUCCAAAGGCCUCAAACCAGCCCCGAAAUCUCUGAUCUCCUCGAACAAAUGCGUCAAAAGCGCGAUCCUACGGACAAAAUCCGUGCAAUCCCGCUUGAACACACCUCCAUGGGUAACGCCAGUCGUCGCCCCUCCUUCGCGUACUGUCGUAGUGCCGCUGCGAUCAGAUCUCCGUGGGUAACUCCAGCCGCCGCCCCUCCUUCGCGUACUGCCGUAGUGCCGCCGCGAUCAGAUCUCCGAUUGUUGAAUCUGACGACAUCACAACCUGGACUGGCCAGCUUCCCCUUCCGGUUCUUCUCUUCGUGUCCUCUCCGGUGAGUCUUGGAAGUGGAGAAGAAGCUCUUUGGUUUCCGGCGACAGGAAGCUGCCAUACCUAGAAUGGUGGAAGAGUUCAAGGGCAAAAAUGUGAUGGAGGAUCGGGGCGGGGUGGGGCAAUACCCGCCCCCGCCUCGAACCCGCUCCGGGUUUUUUAAACCAUUCCCAAACCCGCCCCAAACCCGUUUAAUAAAAUUUAACCCUGUCCCAUUAGGGGCGGGGCGGGGCGAGUACCCGAAAAAACCCGCCCCAUUGCCAUCCCUACUGCUGACCGAGGAUCUGGUGCGGUUUCUCCUGCUGCAGUGGUGCAUGAAUAGCAUCAAUAUAUCAUACUGAUAUCUUUUAUUUGGAAGAAAAUUUUGAAGAAAUUCUUGUAUGUAUAUACAAAAUUCAUUUCUACGCAACCAAAUAUCCUAAAAACAGUGUACCCGCCCCGUAUUUCCUUUGCCUAAAUUGUAAUAUUUUCCGAUAAUAAAUGAUUAAUGUUUCAUGCAAUUUUUAUUUAUGUCACAGUUUGCUAAGUUAUUUAUGGUGGUGUAGGAAGUCCUACAGCUGCUGCUAUGCAUGAGAAUAGCUCUAUCUUCUUACCCUAUCUUAUAUGUGUAUCGUUUUCUAUGAAAUUGGAAUUCCAAAUUAUA